CCUCCCUCCCAGACCCUCCUACUUCCUGGACAGCAUCCGUGUUGGAUGCUGUCCAGGAAAUAGGAGGGUCUGGGAGGGAGGGUCUGCUG
rnacentral:miRNA from 1 species